rnacentral:rRNA from 1 species
GGCCUAUUGAUUUUUAUUUUAGGUCGGACCUGCCCAAUGAUUUUUAUUAAAUGGCCGCGGUAAUUUGACCGUGCAAAGGUAGCAUAAUCAAUAGUUUUUUAAUUGAAAGCUUGUAUGAAGGGUUUGAUGAAAAAAUAACUGUCUCUAUUUAAAUUUAUUAGAAAUUUAUUUUUAAGUAAAAAAGCUUAAAUAUAUAUAGAAGACGAUAAGACCCUAUAGAGUUUAAUAGUUGUCUAAGUAGUUAUAAAUUUAGUAUUAUAAUAAUUAUUUAGGUUAAUUAUUUAGUUGGGGUGAUUAGAAAAUUAAAUAAACUUUUUUUAUAUUGAAACAUUUAUGUAUGAAUAUUUGAUCCUUAUAUUAAGAUUAUAAGAUAAAAUUACCUUAGGGAUAACAGCGUAAUUUUUUUUAAAAGUUCUGAUUGAAAAAAAAGAUUGCGACCUCGAUGUUGGAUUAAAAGAAAUUAUUGGUGUAGAAGCUAAUAAAUUAGGUCUGUUCGACCUUUAAAAUUUUACAUGAUCUGAGUUUAAACCGGUGUGAG